CGUGCGGAAAAGGCGCCUAAACAGCAGAGAGGAUCGGCUGGAGAAUUGACGGUUGAAAACUGCACAAAGUAAAGUCAAGAUCCUCCUGCUGUAAAAACCAGCAUUGACCAGCAUGAAUUCCCUUUCAGUCACUGUCUACCAACCUGCAGUCGGUUCAGCACGGUACUGUAGACAAUUGUUUUUACUUAUGCUUUAUUAUGGCAUAACAGUAAAAUAAAAUUAUGACUAUAAUUCAAUUGGACAUUCAUCUAUGUAUUCAUUGUACAUUAUACUGCACUAACUAGUUUUAUUACUUGUCAGAAACAUCAGGCUCACAGCAACAGAUUAAGAAGAAUCCUGCAUCAAAAGAUGACUUCAACUUGCAUGUGAGACAGAGUGAGAAGAGGAAAAGAGGAAUGAAGAUGGACUGUCUAAGAAACCUGUUUUGUUCAUAACGGAACUUGCAUCUAUCUCCCACGAAUGUAGAAUGCUGAAGGCGAGCAGAAAUGAGAAAAGUUAUGCUACAGCUCUCUGUUUGCAGCACGUCAGUCACGCUCGUCGGGAAAGUGAGUGAAACACACACACAAACACACAUUUUUAUCAAAUAAUACGGCAUUAAUAGCGGUUCACUUCCACAACUUGGUGCGUUUGCAUUUAUAUCAGAAGCGAACUGUACCUGAGUUCACUUGAACCGCACCCCAGACCACCCUUUUUAAGUGGACUCGGGUACGGUUCGUGGGUGUCCGCAGUUACACACAGCACACAGUUACUCCUCGUGUUUGCUGGAUAAUGAUAUAAUGAUAUUAUAUUUAAUCCUCCAAAAUCACUGUGCAAUAAUGAGUGUGUUAAGUGAAUAAAUGUAAACUCUAUGAAUGAAAUGAGCGCAAAUCAAAUAGCUGUAUUGCUGUUGCCUCUCCAUGUGCCACAAAUCAGCUUGGAAAGAAUAAAUCAACUGAAAUACUUAGUGCUUUUUCCAGUUUAACACAUUAAAAUAUUUAACACAGUUAAUGCAGCAUACGUUUUUUUUGUUUUGUUUGUUUCAUCCUUUGGCUAGCAUUACAAUAUAUGAUUACGCUCUUAUUUCUGCGAAUGCUUUUAAACCAUUUAAGCGCACCAAAAGAAAAAAGAGAACGCACUGUCUGUGAAUGUCCUGUCACACACACGACGCACAGAAAGACAUGCACCAGUAUAGUGAGCAUGGACGGCCCACCAGUAUCGAGUUCUCUGUCAUGCUUGAAGAAACAAUAACACACACGAUAAUGUCAAAAAUGUCAGUUUUGUUAACUAUCACCAAUGGAGCAGCCUUAAAUGAGUUAAAGUCCCCGUGAACCGGAAGUGCAAACGUCUUUUCUCCAGUGUUGUGACAUAUUUCCAAGCGAAACAGAAUAUUGAAUAGAGGGCAGAGUUUUAAUUUAACGCUCCUCCUCUCCGUCUCUUGCUCAUAGCAGACUAAGGGUUGGGGGGGGGAGUGGUUUUAUUUUAUCAGAGAAGGAACACCAUUUCAGACCAGAAGUAACAUUUCAGAUUUUGAUUAAAGAUUACCACGACAAACAAUUUUUUUCGGUGUAUUAACUUGCACGGAUUAAUUGUUCACCACAAGACUAGUAAUAUGCACUAACAAAGUAAGUAAGGUCAAUUUUGAUUUUAUGACGUCUUGAAAUGAAGUCUUAAUUGAAAAGUAAAUGAGUUGUGAGAAAGUGGACAUCAGUAGCUGUAUUAAGACCCGGGUAUACUUCACUUUCCGCGGCCAGACGCAUCUCACGUGCAGUCUUGUCUGCGCAUCUUUCAAAGUAUACUCAACUACAGAUGUGCGUGGAUGACCGAGUUCAACACAUGCAGUACAAUUUAAUUCACGAAUCGUGCCAUCAACGGGACUUCGCUGGGUAGGAUCAGAGAAUAAAAAUAGUGCAUCCACCAUCCACCACACAGUCUUGAAAUUUGGCCUGCACACGGACGAGGUAUGCAGACGUCCGUGAGCCCUCCAGAUGACGAACAUUACGUCAUGCAGACGGUGCACGAACGUGGCUUUAGUUUCAGUGAGACUGUCCUUAUUUCAUAAAAACAUGCCAUUAAAAAGUAUUUAAAAUAUACUCUUUAUGUUGUUUCUUUAUGUUGUUUUUAUUUUAGAGAUUAACUGUGACAUUAUUACAUAAUAAUAUGUAUUAUUAAAAACUUGACUAUAACAUUACAUUUAGAUCUAUUGCAUUAUAUUUAGAUAGUGGCAUGAAAGGUUGCAACUUUGAAUGAGCAUUGUAGCUGAUCACAGUCAUGUUGAGUGUAUGUAAGCAGUGAUCUCAUCAUUGAAACUCGAAUUCUGCUCACUAACAAAUACGUUCAUCGUAACUAACAGUGCAAACACAAUGUAAAUAAGAGGUUUGUUGAUUAUAAUGGGAGUUUUGGUGUGAGUCUUUUCCUUAUCCCGAGGUUACCAUACUCAGCUGGAUCCCCUCCAAAUCCAGAUCAGAUGGUGGACCUGCAUCUUGGCAUGACCACGACGCAAGCCUAAAUGUCAACGAAGACCAUGUCAACUAGACAAGCCAGACAGAUCCCCUGUGAGAACUUCGUUGACAGCCAUCGGCAAAGAUCCUCAGCAAAGACCACAAGAACCAGACAAGUCCUCUGCACAGACCCCUACGGCUAGCUUCAACUCUAUGCCGGCGUGUUGUAUCUUGAUCUUCAAACUGAUGGAACCAUAUGAAAUAUUCUAGAUUAUACCAAUCCACAAUCUGACUUGUGUUGCUGCCUGAAUCACAUCACACCAUAUUCGUUCAUUGGCCAGAGGAGAACUGGUCCCUGACUGAGCCUGGUUUCUCCCAAGGUUUUUUUUUCUUCUCCAUUUUUGUAACCUGAUGGAUUUUGGGUUCCUUACCCCUGUUGCCUUUGGCUUGCUAAGUUUGGGACACUUAAUAUUCAGCAAUAAUAUUGAUUUGAUUGCACUGACACUAUCAUAUGAGAACUGAACUGAGCUGGACGAUGACUGUUUUUUGCAGAGCUGCUUUAUAACAAAUUGAACUGAUUUCAUAAUUGAUUAACUUUAUACAGCUAUUGAACAGAACUGAAUUAAAACAUACUGACUUCAGCUGAACAAUGACACUAUUUCUUUUAGAGCUGCUUUACAGCAGAAUUGAACUGGAAUAAUUGAAUCAUUCUCCUGUUUAUACCUGUAAAGCUGCUUUGAAACAGUCUAUAAAGUGUUAAAUUAAAGGUGACUUGACUUUUGAAAUA